AUGAACGCUGGCGGCGUGCCUAAUACAUGCAAGUCGAGCGAACGGACGAGAAGCUUGCUUCUCUGAUGUUAGCGGCGGACGGGUGAGUAACACGUGGAUAACCUACCUAUAAGACUGGGAUAACUUCGGGAAACCGGAGCUAAUACCGGAUAAUAUUUUGAACCGCAUGGUUCAAAAGUGAAAGACGGUCUUGCUGUCACUUAUAGAUGGAUCCGCGCUGCAUUAGCUAGUUGGUAAGGUAACGGCUUACCAAGGCAACGAUGCAUAGCCGACCUGAGAGGGUGAUCGGCCACACUGGAACUGAGACACGGUCCAGACUCCUACGGGAGGCAGCAGUAGGGAAUCUUCCGCAAUGGGCGAAAGCCUGACGGAGCAACGCCGCGUGAGUGAUGAAGGUCUUCGGAUCGUAAAACUCUGUUAUUAGGGAAGAACAUAUGUGUGAGUAACUGUGCACAUCUUGACGGUACCUAAUCAGAAAGCCACGGCUAACUACGU
rnacentral:rRNA from 1 species